rnacentral:rRNA from 1 species
UACGUAGGGACCAAGCGUUGUUCGGAUUUACUGGGCGUAAAGGGCGCGUAGGCGGCUUUGCAAGUGACGGGUGAAAUCCCUCGGCUUAACCGAGGAACUGCCUGUCAAACUGCAUGGCUUGAGACCGGGAGAGGUGAGUGGAAUUCCCAGUGUAGCGGUGAAAUGCGUAGAUAUUGGGAGGAACACCAGUGGCGAAGGCGGCUCACUGGACCGGUACUGACGCUGAUGCGCGAAAGCGUGGGGAGCAAACAGG